rnacentral:rRNA from 1 species
GACGAACGCUUGCGGCGUGCUUAACACAUGCAAGUCGAACGGAAAGGCCCUGCUUUUGUGGGGUGCUCGAGUGGCGAACGGGUGAGUAACACGUGAGUAACCUGCCCUUGACUUUGGGAUAACUUCAGGAAACUGGGGCUAAUACCGGAUAGGAGCUCCUGCUGCAUGGUGGGGGUUGGAAAGUUUCGGCGGUUGGGGAUGGACUCGCGGCUUAUCAGCUUGUUGGUGGGGUAGUGGCUUACCAAGGCUUUGACGGGUAGCCGGCCUGAGAGGGUGACCGGCCACAUUGGGACUGAGAUACGGCCCAGACUCCUACGGGAGGCAGCGGUGGGGAAUAUUGCACAAUGGGCGGAAGCCUGAUGCAGCAACGCCGCGUGCGGGAUGACGGCCUUCGGGUUGUAAACCGCUUUCGCCUGUGACGAAGCGUGAGUGACGGUAAUGGGUAAAGAAGCACCGGCUAACUACGUGCCAGCAGCCGCGGUGAUACGUAGGGUGCGAGCGUUGUCCGGAUUUAUUGGGCGUAAAGGGCUCGUUGGUGGUUGAUCGCGUCGGAAGUGUAAUCUUGGGGCUUAACCCUGAGCGUGCUUUCGAUACGGGUUGACUUGAGGAAGGUAGGGGAGAAUGGAAUUCCUGGUGGAGCGGUGGAAUGCGCAGAUAUCAGGAGGAACACCAGUGGCGAAGGCGGUUCUCUGGGCCUUUCCUGACGCUGAGGAGCGAAAGCGUGGGGAGCGAACAGGCUUAGAUACCCUGGUAGUCCACGCUGUAAACGGUGGGUACUAGGUGUGGGGUCCAUUCCACGGGUUCCGUGCCGUAGCUAACGCUUUAAGUACCCCGCCUGGGGAGUACGGCCGCAAGGCUAAAACUCAAAGGAAUUGACGGGGCCCCGCACAAGCGGCGGAGCAUGCGGAUUAAUUCGAUGCAACGCGUAGAACCUUACCUGGGUUUGACAUGGAUCGGGAGUGCUCAGAGAUGGGUGUGCCUCUUUUGGGGUCGGUUCACAGGUGGUGCAUGGCUGUCGUCAGCUCGUGUCGUGAGAUGUUGGGUUAAGUCCCGCAACGAGCGCAACCCUUGUUCACUGUUGCCAGCACGUUAUGGUGGGGACUCAGUGGAGACCGCCGGGGUCAACUCGGAGGAAGGUGGGGAUGACGUCAAGUCAUCAUGCCCCUUAUGUCCAGGGCUUCACGCAUGCUACAAUGGCUGGUACAGAGAGUGGCGAGCCUGUGAGGGUGAGCGAAUCUCGGAAAGCCGGUCUCAGUUCGGAUUGGGGUCUGCAACUCGACCUCAUGAAGUCGGAGUCGCUAGUAAUCGCAGAUCAGCAACGCUGCGGUGAAUACGCUCCCGGGGCU